rnacentral:rRNA from 1 species
UACAGAGGGGGCAAGCGUUAUUCGGAAUUAUUGGGCGUAAAGGGCGCGUAGGCGGCCUGGCAAGUGACGGGUGAAAGCCCUCGGCUCAACCGAGGAACUGCCUGUCAUACUGCCGGGCUUGAGUCCGGGAGAGGUGAGUGGAAUUCCCAGUGUAGCGGUGAAAUGCGUAGAUAUUGGGAGGAACACCAGUGGCGAAGGCGGUGCUCUGGGCCGGAACUGACGCUGAGGAGCGAAAGCGUGGGGAGCAAACAGG